rnacentral:rRNA from 1 species
UACGGAGGGUGCAAGCGUUGUUCGGAUUUAUUGGGCGUAAAGCGCGUGUAGGCGGUUUUUUAAGUCUGAUGUGAAAGCCCUGGGCUCAACCCAGGAAGUGCAUUGGAUACUGGGAGACUUGAAUACGGGAGAGGGUAGUGGAAUUCCUAGUGUAGGAGUGAAAUCCGUAGAUAUUAGGAGGAACACCGGUGGCGAAGGCGGCUACCUGGACCGAUAUUGACGCUGAGACGCGAAAGCGUGGGGAGCAAACAGG